GUGGGGGAUAUUGCGCAAUGGGGGCAACCCUGACGCAGCAACGCCGCGUGAAGGAUGAAGGUUUUCGGAUUGUAAACUUCUUUUAUUAAGGACGAAAAAUGACGGUACUUAAUGAAUAAGCUCCGGCUAACUACGUGCCAGCAGCCGCGGUAAUACGUAGGGAGCAAGCGUUGUCCGGAUUUACUGGGUGUAAAGGGUGCGUAGGCGGCUUUGCAAGUCAGAUGUGAAAUCUAUGGGCUCAACCCAUAAACUGCAUUUGAAACUGUAGAGCUUGAGUGAAGUAGAGGCAGGCGGAAUUCCCCGUGUAGCGGUGAAAUGCGUAGAGAUGGGGAGGAACACCAGUGGCGAAGGCGGCCUGCUGGGCUUUAACUGACGCUGAGGCACGAAAGCGUGGGUAGCAAACAGGAUUAGAAACCCGUGUAGUCC
rnacentral:rRNA from 1 species